CCUCUCUCCUCUCCUCUCUCCUUAUGGACGCUUAGGAUACACUGAGCUCCUCUCCUCUCUCCUUCUGGACGCUUAGGAUACACUGAACUCCUCUCUCCUUAUGGAUGCUUAGGAGACACUGAGCUCCUCUCUCCUCUCUCCUUAUGAACGCUUAGGAGACACUGAGCUCCCCUCUCCUCUCUCCUUAUGGACGCUUAGGAGACACUGAGCUCCUCUCUCCUCUCUCCUUAUGAACGCUUAGGAGACACUGAGCUCCUCUCUCCUCUCUCCUUAUGGACGCUUAGGAGACACUGAGCUCCUCUCUCCUUAUGGACGCUGAGGAGACACUGAGCUCCUCUCUUCUCUCCUUAUGGACGCUUAGGAUACACUGAGCUCCUCUCUUCUCUCCUUAUGGACGCUUAGGAUACACUGAGCUCCUCUCUCCUUAUGGACGUUUAGGAUACACUGAGCUCCUCUCUUCUCUCCUUAUGGACGCUUAGGAUACACUGAGCUCCUCUCUCCUUCUGGACGUUUAGGAUACACUGAGCUCCUCUCUCCUUAUGGACGCUUAGGAUACACUGAGCUCCUCUCUCCUUAUGGACGUUUAGGAUACACUGAGCUCCUCUCUCCUCUCCUUAUGGACGCUUAGGAUACACUGAGCUCCUCUCUCCUUAUGGACAUUUAGGAUACACUGAGCUCCUCUCUCCUCUCCUCUCUCCUUAUGGACGCUUAGGAUACACUGAGCUCCUCUCUCCUUAUGGACGCUUAGGAUACACUGAGCUCCUCUCUCCUUAUGGACGCUUAGGAUACACUGAGCUCCUCUCUCCUUAUGGACGCUUAGGAUACACUGAGCUCCUCUCUCCUCUCUCCUUAUGGACGCUUAGGAUACACUGAGCUCCUCUCUCCUUAUGGACGCUUAGGAUACACUGAGCUCCUCUCUCCUCUCUCCUUAUGGACGCUUAGGAUACACUGAGCUCCUCUCUCCUCUCCUCUCUCCUUAUGGACGUUUAGGAUACACUGAGCUCUCCUCUCCUCUCCUUAUGGACGCUUAGGAUACACUGAGCUCCUCUCUCCUCUCCUCUCUCCUUAUGGAUGUUUGGAUACACUGAGCUCCUCUCUCCUUAUGGAUGAAUUCAUGCACAUACUUUCUCUCACAUGUUUAAAUGGAUUAUGAUCCAUUUCAAAUUUGACUUGAACAUCAUCUCCUGGUUUUCCCUUAAUGUUUGUUUCCUAUUUCCUGCAGAUGUCCAGCAGCUGGUGGAGAAUAAAGAAGAAGAGGGUCCCCCUGAGCAGCAGGACUGGAGCUCCAGUCUGAACCAGGAGGACCCAGAGCCCCCCCACAUUAAAGAGGAACAGUAUUACCAGGAGGACCCAGAGCCCCCCCACAUCAAAGAGGAACAGGAGGAUCCAGACCCCCCACAGAUUAAAGAGGAACAGGAAGACCUCUGGACCAAUCAGGAGGGAGCGCAGCUUGAAGGUCUGGAGGAGGCUGGUAUCAGGUUCUCAUUCUCUCCUGUUAAGAGUGAAGAUGAUGAAGAGGAAGCUCAGUCCUCUCAUCUUCAUCAAAGACUAACUGAACACAUGGAAACAGAAGCUGAUGGACCAGAACCAGACUGGAACCCAGAUCCAGCCCGACAUCCAGAACCAGACAAAGAGACUGAACCGUAUUCUGAGGCUGAGGACAGUGUUGACGUGGAGUUCUGGAAAGAGACCAGGAAACAUCAGUCAGGGUUUACUUACCAGAGGAGUAAAAAGCUCUCUGCGGAUGAUGGACUUCAUCGCAGCAGGAAGCCAUUCAGCUGCUCUGGUGACAAGACAGGAAGUGAACCCAAGACUGAGGACGGAGUGGAUGGGGGUCUCCCUCCAUCAGGUCCAGAGCCUCUGGACAGUGAGGUCUCAGCCACAGAUACAGGACUUAACACGGACAUGAGGCCUUUCAGCUCCUCUGAGUGUCAGGAAAGAGCUGAAGAGCGUCUCACGCUGCUGACACGCGGGGACCCACCCACAGGGGAGAAACCGCUCCGCUGCUCUCUUUGUAGGGAAAUAUUCAACAAGCAGGAAAGCUUACGUUGUCACAUGACACAGCACUCGGGGGAGAAACCGUUCCGCUGCUCAGUGUGCCGCUCAGACUGCGGGGACAGCGAGUCUCUAGUUCAACACAUGAGGAUCCACACAAUGCAAAUGAGGUUUAAUUGCACAAUUUGUGGUGAAGAGUUUGCGUGGAGGAGACAUCUCACGAAACAUCUGGAAGUCCACAAAAUCUACAGAUGCAGCGUUUGUGACCAGCGGUUCACUUGGUGCAAACAGCUCAAAGACCACAGAUGUGUCGGCCGUCGCCUCUCAAGGCUUCAUGAGAACCAGCCGGAGGAGAACCGAGACGCAGAACCUCCAGCCGGCAGCUCAACGGAACACCUGGAAACAGAAGCUGAUGAAGAGGACUACGGAGGACCAGACAGGAAGUCAGGGCCAGAACCUGAGGAGACUGGAGACUCUUCUGGACCUGAGACUGAUCCCAGUGAUGACUGGAAGGAGAGCAGAGAACCGCCGCCUGGGUUAAACUCUCUGAAUAAUGUGGAAGUUUCUCUCAGUGGUUCCAGAUUCAGAGCAAGAGGGAAACCUUUUAGCUGCUCUGAGUGUGGGAAAAUAUUUAAGAAAAAGACGCAUCUGAAGAUACACAUGAGGUCUCACACAGGCGAGAAACCAUUCAGCUGCUCGGUUUGUAAGAAGUCUUUUUCACAGAGCGGGAAUUUACAGAAACACAUGAGAAUCCACACGGGAGAGAAACCGUUCACCUGCUCUGAGUGUGGGAAACUAUUUGGCUCCCAGGAAAGUCUGAAGAAACACUUGAGAAUCCACACUGGAGAGAACAUCUUCAAAUGUUCAUUGUGUUAUAAACGGUUCAAUGGAAAGUGCAACUUGGAUGAACACAUGAGGAACCACACGGAGGAGAAAAGCUUCAGCUGCAGUGUUUGUGACCACAAGUUCACCUGGUUCUACCAGCUCAGGAAACACAAGUGUGUCGGUCGCCGGUCCUCACAGCGUCAUCACACUCAGGAGAACCGAGGGGCAGAACCUCGGGCCGGCAGCUCAACGGAACACAUGGAAACAGACAAGGAUGGAGAGGACUGUGGAGGACCAGAACCAGACAGGGACUCAGAGCCAGACAGGAAGUCAGAUCCAGAACCAGACAGGAAGUCAGAUCCAGAUAGACAUCCAGAACCCGGUACCGAUGACAACAAUGAAGACCCUUCUGAACCUGAGACUGAUGACAGUGAAGACUGGAAGGAGAGCAGAGUUUAAACUGUAAGCACGAUUAUUGGACCUGGAGAACCCCUCUAGGGUUUGGACCGGUGGCUGUUGUUGUUGUUGUUGUCGUCGCCGGCUCAAAAGACAUAACGGUGUUUGUUGUUCAGCGUCUUCAGACUGAGGAGAACCUCCAGCCUGAAGGAACCAUGACAACGAGCUACUUCUCGUCAAACGGGGCUAUUUUACUUCUUUUCCAUACAAUUAUGUUCACAGUGAGAUUUUUUUUCUGGAAUGCUUUUAAGAGUUAAUCCGAUUUACAAGCCAAAUCCUAGUUGUGUACUAGUACACAAAAUACAUUGUUUGUAUGUUUCAAGUUCAGUAGAGAAAACCAGAAGACAAUUCUUUCCAUUGAUUUAAAAGAAUAACAAACAUUGACCAGUUUCAUAAAUGGACCCGGUUCUGAUUCCUUCGUCCUCCAUCAUAAGACUCCGAGAACUAAAUGGAACAUUUUAGCCAAGUUGAAGCACGUCUGGGCGGUCCCUCUGUGUGGAGUUUGCAUGUUCUCCCUGUGGCAGCCUGGGUUCCUUCUGGGUUCUUCCGUCAGUCCAGAGACAUGCAGCUCAGGAACAAUGAUGUGGACCAAUGGAAGUCACCCGAGGACUGAAGACCAAGAGCCUUGAAGUGUCUUCAUGCUGUCUGCCAUUCCCCGAACAGAGUGCUGCUCGGUUCUAGACGUGUCUGUCAUGGUUCUGUUGCCCCCCCACCCCCCCUCCGUCAACAGGUGCUGCCUCCCUUUGUGUUUGUUCACAAUGAAACUUUAGUUUUUGAAAGCCGAUCUGAAGCAGAAUAUUUCGUUUAAUUAAAAUAUCACCCACCAGA